rnacentral:rRNA from 2 species
CACGUAGGCGGGAACUUAAGUCAGGUGUGAAAGACCGGGGCUCAACUCCGGGGUUGCACUUGAAACUGAGUUUCUUGAGGGCAGGAGAGGAAAGCAGAAUUCCUGGUGUAGCGGUGAAAUGCGUAGAAAUCAGGAGGAAUACCAGUGGCGAAGGCGGCUUUCUGGACUGACCCUGACGCUGAGGUGCGAAAGCGUGGGUAGCAAACA